rnacentral:rRNA from 1 species
UAACUGAAGAGUUUGAUCAUGGCUCAGAUUGAACGCUGGCGGCAGGCCUAACACAUGCAAGUCGAGCGGAAACGAUGGUAGCUUGCUACCAGGCGUCGAGCGGCGGACGGGUGAGUAACGCGUGAGAAUCUGCCCAUUUGUGGGGGAUAACUCGGGGAAACUCGAGCUAAUACCGCAUAAUCCCUACGGGGGAAAGCAGGGGACCUUCGGGCCUUGUGCAGAUGGAUGAGCUCGCGUCGGAUUAGCUUGUUGGUGAGGUAAAGGCUCACCAAGGCGACGAUCC